rnacentral:rRNA from 1 species
GACGAACGCUGGCGGCGUGCCUAAUACAUGCAAGUCGAGCGGACUUGACAGAGCUUGCUCUGUUCAAGUUAGCGGCGGACGGGUGAGUAACACGUGGGCAACCUGCCCUGCAGAUUGGGAUAACUCCGGGAAACCGGGGCUAAUCCCGAAUAACAUUGGAAACCUCAUGGUUUCCUUUUAAAAGGCGGCUUCGGCUGUCACUGCAGGAUGGGCCCGCGGCGCAUUAGCUAGUUGGUGAGGUAACGGCUCACCAAGGCGACGAUGCGUAGCCGACCUGAGAGGGUGAUCGGCCACACUGGGACUGAGACACGGCCCAGACUCCUACGGGAGGCAGCAGUAGGGAAUCUUCCGCAAUGGACGAAAGUCUGACGGAGCAACGCCGCGUGAGUGAAGAAGGUUUUCGGAUCGUAAAACUCUGUUGUCAGGGAAGAACAAGUACGGGAGUAACUGCCCGUACCUUGACGGUACCUGGCCAGAAAGCCACGGCUAACUACGUGCCAGCAGCCGCCGUAACAC